UGGGGAAUAUUGCACAAUGGGGGAAACCCUGAUGCAGCAACGCCGCGUGAGUGAUGAAGGUCUUCGGAUCGUAAAACUCUGUCUUAUGGGACGAUAAUGACGGUACCAUAGGAGGAAGCCACGGCUAACUACGUGCCAGCAGCCGCGGUAAUACGUAGGUGGCAAGCGUUGUCCGGAUUUACUGGGCGUAAAGGAUGUGUAGGCGGAUAUUUAAGUGAGAUGUGAAAUCCCCGGGCUUAACUUGGGGGCUGCAUUUCAAACUGGAUGUCUGGAGUGCAGGAGAGGAAGGCAGAAUUCCUAGUGUAGCGGUGAAAUGCGUAGAGAUUAGGAAGAAUACCAGUGGCGAAGGCGGCCUUCUGGACUGUAACUGACGCUGAGGCAUGAAAGCGUGGGGAGCAAA
rnacentral:rRNA from 1 species